rnacentral:lncRNA from 1 species
GGAAUGUGAUGUACUUCAGUUUUAUCCAUUUUACUGAAAAUGAAAAAGUUUGCAGGCACUCGGACUCCACCAACACAGACACAGCUGGAUGGGAAGUGUCCGGACAUGUAGGACGGAGGAUUGGAGUGGUUUUUGCAUACCUAUACUAAGAAUUUGGAUUUUAUUGUCUACUGAUUGAAAGACCCUGACUUCUUCUCAGCAGGGAGAUGAGUACACAUGACAAAACAUGCGUUUUUAGGAAGCUUACUUUAGUGGCAGUGUGAGGGAAGAACUGAGGAGAAAAAUCCAGAUGAAACUGGGAAGCUAUUGGCAUAAUCCCAGUUAGAGGGAAAAUGAGUCGGAAUUCAGGCAGUGAGAGAAAAAAGUGAUGUGUGGAAAUGAAAAAUAAGGAAAAGAGCAUGGAGUAACCCCAGAAUAAUUGCUUGUAUUUGCAAAUGGUGGCAUCAUCUGCCAAUUAUCUGGAGUACCUUGAAGACUGUCUGUAUCUCAAGAGGACAGGAGCCUACCUCAUCUGAAUAGAUUUAAAUACUAUAGCAGAUACAGUCAAGAGCCAACCCAAAGUGUCUAUGGACUCAUCUUUCCAUGCCAAGGGUUGCAUCAAGGAUGUUCAUGGUUCUUGCACAAGCCUUUCUUGUCAUGGCUUCAACCUUCGACCAGGAGGACUACGAGUAAAAGUGAUGUUCCUGCCUUGGACCCAUGGAUUCACUCCAUCUUUGUCAUUCUAUCUCUGGUGGACAUUGAACUUUAUAAAAUGUGAUAAAAAGUACUUUUAGUCUUGGAAGGAGCAAACUGGACUGUCUGAAAAACAACUUUUUAAGUGAAAACGGGAACUUUUGGUGGAGAUCCACUGUUUCCAAAACCUUGAAGGAACAAAGGUUGCCACUCGCCAGCACCUGGGGAGUCAAUAUGCGUCUAUCAGCCACAGAAAGGUGACCAAUACAAAGAAAGAGAAGCAAAGGAAAUUAACCACGAAUGGGUAGAAAGUCUAGCAGUGACCACCCACUGCAAAGAUAAGUAUCAUCCUGCAAAAGGCUCAGAGUUGUUUCAACCUGAGAAGGAGGUUUGGACAUCCCUCACCUGUCAUCCAGAGCCCAAGGGAAGGAACAUACAAAGGCUUGGUCACCUCUGCCUCACCGUGCUUACAUCAGAGAGCUGACAGCAUCCUUCUGCAGAAGCAUAACACAUGUAAGCUACCAAAGAUGAAGACAGACCGAGGCCAGAGUGAGGGUCCAGAAAUGGUUUAAAAAGGCUCCAGGUAUAAUACUGACAUUUUCUUCUAGUAAAGGUGAGGAGACUUCCUUGUUCCUUUUCUGGAAAUAAUGUAUGAUUUCUCUGAUGAUAAACUUAAACACAGUCAUAUACCUUUAUUCACACAUUCUUACUUGAAGGAUUCUAUCAUUUCUGGGUUGUAACAAUGGGGAGGGUAGGAUUGAAUCUGUAUUGAACAUAUACUGAUUUUUUUUGGUCAUUAUUCUCUAAAAGCACAUUAAAACAAAAUUUCCCAUAGCAUUAUUUGUUGUAUUAAGCAUCAAAUAUGAUCUAGAAAUGUUUUAAAAUACUGUACAUGGAAACAUUUGGAUAAGUUCCAUGCAAAUACUACACCAUUUUGGAUUGGUCAGCUUUCCCAUUGCUGGCUCAAAGAAUCUGACACCUGUAACUUAAAGGAAAAAAAGGUUAAUUUUGGCUCACAGGUUCAGAGGGUUCAGUCCCUGGUUGGCUGGCUUGCAAGCAGAAACAUCAUGGCAGAAGGGUGUGGCAAAAGAAAGAUGCUUCCUUCAUGGAGGCCAGGAAGCAGAGAGAGAGAGGAGGAAAGCAACAUAGAGGAAGGAGUCAGGUAUCAGACCUGGUCUACAAGGUCAUGGCCCCAUGCCCCACCCCAAUGCAGCCAAUACGGGGAUCCACCAACACCCUGGCAGCUCCCAAGCUGUUCAAGUUGGCACAAUGAAGCUCAGCCAUCAAACCUUUAAACUAAUGAACUUGGGCAUCUGUGAAUUUUGGUAUCUGCAACAACCAUGGAACCAAUCCUUCACGAUUACUUAGGAACAACUGUAUAGGACUGGGCUGGUUAUAGGAUACUAGCCUACAAUGCUCAAGGCCCUGAGUUCUAUCACCAGCACCACAAAAUGCUACCAUUACCGCUCCCAUGACUAUGGCCACUACUACGCCUAUUAUUGUAAAGGGAAAGCAAAUUUGCAUGUGGAGAAACUCGAAAAGAAGAAGCUAAAGGUCAUGUGUAAAACCAUGAUGUGGUUCGCAUCUAGUUUGUUCUGUUUGUGGACUUUUCCCUAUGCAUGCAUAGACCCUGCCUUGAAAGUGCCUAAUUAGAAAGUUGGAUAUAAUCGCAUCGGCUCUCAGUGCCUGGGGAGCCAGCCAUCCUGUCAGUUCCAGCCUCUACACAUUGGCGUCUACCAUCUAUACUCCGGCAAG